CCUGGUUUUACUGGAACUACGUGUGACGUAGAGAUCAAUGAAUGUUCUAGUCAACCGUGCCAGCGGGGAGAAACAUGUGUGGAUUUGGUAAACGGCUAUCGAUGCAUCUGCCAAGUUGGACACGAUGGAAAGCAAUGCACUUUGAAAGUGGUUGAUCAUUGUCGCAGUC